AACUGUUGUUCUUCACUACAUAUAAUGUAAAAGAGAUAUAUCUGGAUAUAGGAGUCGUGAAAGACCUAGCUAAUACAACGUCAACAUCAUAUUCUAUAGCUUACGAUGUGAAAGGACGAUAUGUGUAUGCUUCAAAAUAUCAUGAAAAUUCCAUAGUUAGAUUCCCUUAUCCAAAUGACCAAAAUGUAAAUUUUGAAAUUGUGGUCUCUGCAAACAAUCCAUUUGACGUAGCAUUUGACUCAGGGAACAGUCAUCUAUACUGGACAGAAUAUACAACUUUAGGAAUAAUAUUGAGAUGUAAUUCAGAUGGAUCCGAUUUAACCACCAUUGUUAAUGAAACCUUUCCAUUUGCACUUACAUUAGACACACAUAAUAGAUGGAUCUACUAUAGUCAAUUAGGCAGUAAUGCAUUACACAGGAUGACAUUUGAAGGAAAAGAAAAACAGGUAGUAAUACAACUGACAGCAUGGCCGGUAGAAAUAG